rnacentral:rRNA from 1 species
CUGUAGGUGAACCUGCGGAGGGAUCAUUACCGAGUUUACAACUCCCAAACCCAAUGUGAACGUUACCAAACUGUUGCCUCGGCGGGGUCACGCCCCGGGUGCGUCGCAGCCCCGGAACCAGGCGCCCGCCGGAGGAACCAACCAAACUCUUUCUGUAGUCCCCUCGCGGACGUAUUUCUUACAGCUCUGAGCAAAAAUUCUAAAUGAAUCAAAACUUUCAACAACGGAUCUCUUGGUUCUGGCAUCGAUGAAGAACGCAGCGAAAUGCGAUAAGUAAUGUGAAUUGCAGAAUUCAGUGAAUGAUCGAAUCUUUGAACGCACAUUGCGCCCGCCAGUAUUCUGGCGGGCAUGCCUGUCCGAGCGUCAUUUCAACCCUCGAACCCCUCCGGGGGAUCGGCGUUGGGGAUCGGGACCCCUCACACGGGUGCCGGCCCCGAAAUACAGUGGCGGUCUCGCCGCAGCCUCUCCUGCGCAGUAGUUUGCACAACUCGCACCGGGAGCGCGGCGCGUCCACGUCCGUAAAACACCCAACUUUCUGAAAUGUUGACCUCGGAUCAGGUAGGAAUACCCGCUGAACUUAAGCAUAUCAAU